CAGCAGCCGCUCCCCUGCAAGGAGAACCUCCCACUUCCUGUCCCGCACACCUGCCUCAUUGGAAAGUGACGCACCCACUGUUUGGCCUCGGCAGCCUGAUGUUUCUCAUCACACAGGAAGACGGUCAUGCUACAGGAAGACCUCGGACUUUGCAUCCAGCAGAUGGUUGUUCUAGAGAUUGUCAGACCGAGACCACGCCACACACCCAGAAGGCACCCAAGUCACAGAGCCUGAUAUUGUUCCUGGAGCGCCAUUGCAUCAUCCUUGACCACAAGAUCUGCGUCAUUGGAUUUGUCUCAAAAACUUGGGACUCUGGAGAUAAAACCUCAUUGCAAGGCUACCUUUGCCACUGUAUCUUAGCAGCUUUUGAAGCAAAGCAUUUCAAUAUUUAGACACUGUGUUUCUAAUGGGUACUGGGAUCAAAAUAAUAAAAACUCAGUCUGCAAAGGGAGAAGAAUAGAAACCAGCAGAUUUAUUAUUUCACAGAAUGUUCCUCUCCUCUCAGGUAAACAUGCCUAAUAAUAUCUGCUUAACUAAUGAGCACCCGCAUUGUCAGUGGGGCCUUGACUCUGACGACGUAAUGCAUUUCUGUGCCAUUGCACCCCCCACCCAUCUCGGAGAGCAUCUGAAAAUUAAGUGGGGCAGAUGUAAUUAUGCAUCUAAUAUGCAAGGUACAUGUGCAUGUAGAAGUGUGCAUUGUGUAAACAACUGUAUCAAAUCAACUGCAUGUAUCUGCUUGGCUCACGUCCUACAAGCACAAUUUUCAUUUUAUUCCAGUUACUUCUUUUUUUUUUUUUUUUUUACAGAGUCUCACUGUGUUGCCCGGGCUGGAGUGCAGCAGCGCCAUAUUGGCUCACUGCAACCUCCGCCUCUCAGGUUCAAGCAAUUCUCAUGCCUCAGCCUCCCAAGUAGCUGGAAUUACAGGCAUGCGCCACCACACCCAGCUAAUUUUUGUACUUUUAGUAGAGGUGGGGUUUCACCAUGCGUUGGCUGGUCUCAAACUCCUCACUUCAGGUGAUCUGCCCACCUUGGCCUCCCAAAGUCCUGGGAUUACAGGCAUCAGCCACCAUGCCCGGCCUUCCAGUUACUUCUUGCUGGCUAAUAAAUCACCCCAGAACCAAGUGGCUUAAGACAGCCAUGAGUGUUUUGUAACAAGCAUUGGAUGACUAUUUCCCCCAGCCCUGGGGACUAACUAGGCUCAGCUUAUCUGGGUCUUUCAUCCAGUUGCAGUCAGUGGCUUGUGUUUGAGUCAUCUGAAGGCUUCCUCACUCACACAGCUGGCAUUGGUGUUGCCUGUUGGCUGGGAUCCCAGCUGGGAGUGCUGGCCUCUGUGUGUGGACUGGGCUUCCUCCUAGCAUGGCGGCUGUGUUCUGAGGCCCAGCGUCCUGAGAGAGGUGGGCAGAAGGUGUAUUGCCUUUUACGGCCUAGUCUUGUCAGUCGUGUAAGUUUUACCAAACUCACAGGCCAGCCUGGUUUCAAGGAAGGGAACAUAGUCCUACCUCUCAACAGGAGGACUAUCAUUGCCACAUUGUAAAAAAGAGCAUGCAGGAUGGGAGGCCUUAUUUUGGCCACCUUGGAAAGUGAAACCUGCCACACAUACCUUCCAAGUAUGAAUAGUAAAUCAUUGUGUUUUCCUUAAACUUCAUCUCUAAGGAGGCCUGCUGGAUGAUUAUUUGUGAAUCUAGUGGUCAUCACUGUCUGUGUUAUGAACUUACAAUUAAUGAGCAUGCAUUUUCUUGGACGAUAAUAAUCCAUAAUUCUGACUUCUUACUAUUCAGAUUAAUCUUCUUCCCACUUUCCCGGUAAGAGUGACUUUGCUGUAUUUCGGGGCAGAUUCAUCCUCCAAGUUACCCUUGCUGCUCCUGAAGCUGAGCAGAUUAGCUCCCCAGAAAAUAGCAUUUUCCCAGAGGUGCAGGUUGAUUUUCUCACGUCCCUCUUUCCGCAUGGGAAACAGACUGCAGUUGAGAUUCACAUGCAGCAGCCUUGGGCUAUUUCGUUGAGAAUCAAAUCCGCAGAGAUGUGGCAUGAAAGGAAAGAAGGCGAGUGCACAGCAUGCUCUGGGCUUUCAGGUCACUCAGUGCUCCUCGGAGCCGCACCAGACACAGAAGACAACACAGGCUCCACCUGGGGGACAGGUUCCACACGGUGUGGCCCAGCGUGACAGUGAGGGUUCCUCCCAUAACCAGCACGGGGCUCUAUGUAAGGCCAUUCCCUCCCAAAGGAAACUCUUGCGAGAUCAUUUUUAAGGCUAGUUUCUAGUCUUCUAGCAACCGGGCUGGGUUAGAAUUCAUGCAUUUUUUUAGACUUCCAUCCUCAGCACUGAAGGCCCACUUCUGAGUGUGCUCCAAGCUGUGCCCAGGGCAGGGAGAUGAUUCAGACACAGCUGUGCCCUCCACAGGUCACAGGUGGGUGGAGAAGAGUCAUCCCUGCCCACAGGGACAGUUGGUAACAGGGAAAAGGGAAGAACAGGGCUAAGGGAACCCAGGAAAAGCCCGAGUCAGGUGUUAGAGAAGCAAGCAGCCAGAGUGGGCUGAGGCGGGGGGACGCGGGGGGACGCAAGGGGACGUGGGGUGACGGGAGGCCUCCAGCAGGGGUGCAGCUGUGGAAACCCAAGGAGCGCUGCAAGCAACGUAACUAAGGCUGGGCGGGGAGGGGAAGAGAUGAAGCUGAAGUCAGUGGAAACCAGAUGGCCAAGGGCCUGGAGAGCCGAGCCAGGGGUGGAACUUCAUCCUGAGGGCCGUGGCGAGCUACUAAAGGGAUUUCAGGAGGGCAGUAAUACCAUAAGAUUUUGGAGUUUUCAUUUUUUGUUUUUUUUUGGUUUCGGGUUUUUUUUUCUGACAUGGAGUCUUGCUCUGUCACCCAGGCUGGAGUGCAGUGGCGCAAUCUCGGCUCACUGCAACCUUUACCUCCCAGGUUCAAGCAAGCCUCCUGCCUCAGCCUCUUGUGUAGCUGGGACUACAGGCGCCCACCACCAUGCCAAUUUUUGUAUUUUUGUAUUUUUAAGUAGAGACAGGAUUUUGCUAUGUCAGCCAGGCUGGUCUUGAACUCCUGACCUCAGGCGAUCUGCCUGCCUUGGCGUCUCAAAGUGCUGCGAUUACAGGCGUAAGCCACCAGGCUCAGCUAAGAUUUGGGUUUUCAAGGGGUGGUGCUGGCUGCUGGGCACAGUGGAAUUGAAGGAAAGAGAAGUGGAUUCUGGGGAGGGCAUGGUGGCCACUUCAGAAGCUGCAGGAUUCAGAGUUUGAGAAGCCCCAGUGUGCAUCAGACCCAGCACGUUGAAAUGUACCCACUACAAAGAAAAGAAACUUUUUAUCUGAGGAAGGCGAGCCCCCUUUAAAUGAUCAGGCCUAGAGAGGCACUGGAAUGAGACAGCUGUCACAUCUCACUGCCCCACCUGAGAAAAGAAAUCUCCUGAGGCCGCUUGCUGUGUGGGCUCUAGGCUGACUGGUACCAGUAGCUAUGGAUGAACCUAACAAUGCCACACACUGGACACCAUAACCCGUGCCCUGUAGUUCAACAACAUAUAGAUAAUCACUCAUCAAUGUUAUUUCUGUAAACCGAUGAGAAUUCCUGAAAAACAAUUUCGCAAUCGCCCCUUUCCUGAUUUGUCCUCUUGUAUUUAAAAGCUCGAGCCUCUCUUCUCUGGAGCACUUUCCAAGGUAACUUGGGAGUGCUUCCUGGACUACAGUCCUCAACUGUGGCCCAAAUAAACUCUCUACCUGUGUUAAUUUCGCUUCCAUCUCUUUCUAUUGGUCAACACCACAAUCUACAUUUGAAAUGUCAUUCUUCCAUGCUAGAAUAUGUAUUCGGAAAAAAAAUUUUUUAAUUUUUUUCUGAAGUUCCUUGGCUGUAAUACAUUUCAUUGACUCUCGGCUGUGAUCUGUGGACAAUGACUGUGCACACCUACAGACUCACUCCUCAUCUUCGUGAGGCUGGGAUAAAGGUACACACGGAGGCUGGUCCCACAUCUGUAAAGGCCUCACAUGCAUGGCUACGGGCAUCUCGGCCCUCAUGUCCGAG
rnacentral:lncRNA from 1 species